rnacentral:sRNA from 1 species
ACUCAACACUAUUUCAAUUAGAAAGGGUGAGUUUAGGUUGUAAAAGCACGCCUUCUCGAAAGGAUCCUUGAUCAGCCUGGUAGCCCUAAACCUGUUUAUAGGAGUUU